CUUCAGUAGAUUGGAGUGAGAGUUCUCUGGCUGGAGUUAGACUUGGGAUUCUUAGAGGUUGGCCCAAAGCGUGUUUUGGGUACUGUGUUAGUUACUUUUCUCAACCAGGGGAGGAACAAUUUAUUUUAGUUCAUGGUGUCAGAGAAUUUAGUCCUUGGUUGCCUAUCUAUGUGCACUUGAGAAGAACAUCAUGGGGACAGGAGCGUGUGGUUGAGGAGAGCUCUUCUCGGCUGAGCUAACCAGGAAGCAGGAAGGGAGACAGGAAGUGGUCAGGAACCCCAAGGGCCUUCCCCCUGUGAUUUGCUUUUUUUCAUCAGAGUUCCAUUUCCAAAGUUUCCAGAACCUUCCAAAAUGGUGUCUCCAUUGGGAACUAGGGAUACUUCAUACGCAGACUAAAACAAGUUCCCUGUGGAUCCUGGGGUCUUUGUAGCAUAAUACAACUUUCUCUUAUGAGGGAACCAUAGUCUGAGUACACAAGAGGGCUGGUAAGUUAGCAACGGGGAGAAAAGAGUCUGUCUCAAGUAUCUCUUGUUGCCACUGCCCCUUGCGGCAUUUUGGGCCUCUCCCCUUCCUAAAAUUCCAUCGCUUCCUGAACAGGAUGGCAUAACUACUGCCUCCUGCCUUUGGUGUGAAUGUCUGUACCAGGAUCUAAACUGUUAGCAAAGACUGUGAUACAUGAGCAUAGUUAUUGCUACCUUUUUUACCCACUAAAAAUAUUUAUUACUUUGUGUGUGUGUAAAGGUGUCUGUGUCAUAGUGUAUAUGUGGAGGUCAGAGGACAGACAGUUUGAAGGAGUUGAUUCUCUCUCCAAAAUGAGGUAUCGAACGCUAGGCAGUUCGGGUUGUCAGGCUUGGCACCUUUUCCUGCUUACCCCAUUGCUACUUUUACUGUUGAUCCUUCCUAUUUCAUUUCCUUAUUCAACAUUUUGGGGAGAUAAGGAGUGUCUAGAAAGGAAAGGAAGAGUGGAAGAAGAAAGAGGGAGCCCAGAGCAAGAAGGGAAAACUUGAUACUGCUGCAAAUUCGACUUGUGGGCCCAGAGAGAUAGCUCAGCAGUUAAGAGCACGUGCUGCUCUUGCUGAGAAUCAGGGUUCAAGUUCCCAGCACUCACACAGUGGCUAACAAGCAUCUGCAAGUCCCAUGCCAGGUCAUCUGACGCCCUCUUCUGGCCUCUGUGAGCACUGCAUGCAUGUGAUACACAGACAUGCAGAGGAAACAUCCAGAUACACAAAAAUAAAUAAACCUUAAAAAAGUCCACUUGUAACAAUUUAUUGAUAGUUUCCUAUGAACAGAUGUUGCACAUAGAGACUGGAGUAAGCAUCCCUUGUGACAGUUCUGCACUACACAUCACAAAGAAGGGGAGUGAAGCUCAGGGGUGUCAGGGAUGGUCCAAACCCAAGGCAUGGACAGGAGGAAUGGAGACAGGUAGCUUGAUGCCACAGCCUGACUCCCAGCCUCUCACAGAUCUCCAGCUCGGAGGCAAGGGAUGCCCUUCCACUAAGGUUUUGGAACACUCACUUCUUUCUGGGAAGAGUCCGACUGGAACUGCUAACGGCACUCUGGAGAGGUUUGUCCUGUCACAGAGUUGUGUACACAGUCAGGGAAACACGUGGCAAAUUUUGGUGAUUCUAGUUUCCCUGACUCUAAGCUUGUGAUUUUGAACCCUGUUGCCCAAGCUUGCUGCAGGAGAACUUUGCGAAAUCCUUGCCUUGUAGGCUGCCCAGAGGGUUCCAUCAGCAUCUCCAGGAAGGUGAGAGGACCCACAUCUUCUUAAACACUGGCUGGUCCAAAGAGCAUCAUCUGGGCCCAAGAACCCCUCAUAAGACAACCAGUUGGUGCUGAAACUCUGCUCCUAUUCACAGAGCAGGUGAGGGUGCUGUGGACUGGAAGUGGAGGAUAUGUUGAAGCAAGGGAUAUGCAUGGGUGGGAAGGUGGUUAAAAAGGGGAGAGAUCAAACACUGCAAAAGGACAUAUGAGAUCAAAGCACAGAGAGCCUAAGUGUCUGGGUGCAGAUGCGCCCAAGGCAAUGGAAGAGCUGGAAUCACAGCAACAGUUGAUGGCAAAUGACUGAGAUAUUUUGUUACCGAGGAGAUGCUAUCAGCAUCUCCAUGGUGAAGUUUUCUAAGGCUCAGUUCUGUACCCAAUUCUUUGCUUAACCCAGUGGAUUUCAACCUUCCCAGUGCUGUGACCCCUUAAUACAGUUCCUCUUGUUUAGGGUGACUCCCAGACAUAAAAUUAUUUUGUUGCUACUUCAAAACUGUAAUUUUGCUACAGUUAGGAAUUGCAAUGUAAAUAUCUGGUAUGCAAGAUAUCUGAUUUACAACCCCUGUGAAAGGGUCAUUUGAUUCCCACCAAAGGGGUCGUGACCCACAAGUUGAGGACCACUGUCUUAAUCCAUUCUUUCUCUAACUAGACUCACCCAUGCCAAGGAUUUCACUCACCACCUGACUCCCAGGUUCCCAUUUCUAGUUCAUGUGAUUCCUUGGAAACUCAACCCACUCAUGAUGUGACUCACCUGAUAUCUUCAUUUGUAUGGCACCCAAACACCCAGUGUCCUUCAAGACUGUCUCCAGCCCAGGCUGGCCCUAGUGAAUGACAUCAGGACUCAGGCUGGACCCUCCCUUCUCCCUCACGGCCUUAUCUGUCACCAGUGACUCUCGGUACCUGUUCCCUUGGCACCCGUUAAAGACAUAUCUACCUCUGUCCUCUUUUCAACCAUCUGAAUUGCCAUGCCUCUAGCUAAGCCACCAAAUAUGUCCAUUUAUGCUUACGUGAUGACUUAUGUCUGUCACCCACUUGGUUCUAUCUUGUAUAAGGGCAGCGACUGAGGUCAUAUGUUCUCGGCACCUUACCUCACACUCAGUAAACAUGUGCUGGGUUCCUGAAUGAAUAACUUUAUUUUACACUUUCAGCUGAUGUGAGGGUUAUUGAUAUGGUACUUUCUCGAACGUGGGCUGCAGAUCUUCAAGCUGAAACUGGAGGCAAUGCAUUCAGAUGGUCUAGGGGUUUAGGCCUUUGUCUAUGAAAGUUGAAUGAGGGGAUUCUAGGGAACCGAAUGCUCCGAGAUGAGAACCAGCCUCUCAUUAGGUCAUGCACAUGCGCACACACACUUGUUUGUGUCCCUGGCAAGCUCUUGUGCACUUACUUGGUAGGCAUCUUUAUUUGGGGAAUUAAUUAUAAAACCAACUCCGCACUAUUUCUGUGAUUAUGGAGCAAACAAACAAGAAAACUAAUUUCAUGCUGCCUGGCUUUCUGGCAAAGGGAAAAUUAAAAAUAGCAUUUUCACGAGCUGCCCUUUGAAAGUGCUUCUCUUGGUCAGAACAGUUCCCCAGGGAAAACAUCAUGAUUCCAAACCUACUCCAUAUUGGUUCCUGCUAGAGGUGACAGAUUCUGCUAACUCUGGACCGUGACAUUCUGGGUCAAGGUUACACAUGCUGCCUCUGCCAUCAGAACAGCCCAGUGCUAACAUAUCCCUUCUUUCAGGGAAAGGUCGUAAGAAGUCUUCUGUGGCAUUCUAGUAGAAUGGGUGAUGGGCAAGACUUGAAGGGAAGUGCUCUGGAGACCAGGCCCUCUUUCAGAUCCUCCUAGUCUAAGAUGUGUCUCCAAGGAAACCCCGAGCUUGAUUGCUUUUCUUGCUGUCAAGGGGAAGCUGAGUUUCCCUAAGGCAGAAAUCACAGGAAUUCACUCAACUUAUCUGCUGGCCUGUGAGGGUGCUCGGGAUUUGCGUGGUGAGGGCAGAGGUAUAGCCAAAAAGUUGUUAGGAACUAAGUCUGGGAUUAGAGAAACUAAGUUAUCUUCCUGGAUCUGCCACUUCUCCUGGAUGAGAAUUUGGGGGCAAUUUCCUAAAUAAUAUUUAGGAAAAUAUUUUUCUCACCCAUGAAAAGGAAUGAUGAUACUAGUUAUGUUACUAUAUAAGAUUUUGUGAGUUGUAUCGAUCCAAUGGUUCAGCACCUAGCAGCAGGAGAUAUACCUGAAAUUCCUUUUUGUGGAUUCCACUACAAGAAAGUUCUCAGGCCUUCAAGUUCACUGCUCAUUUGAAUAAAAGAAAAAUAGAAGCUAGAGGCUACUUCCCUUUGCUGCUGUCUUAUGAAACAAAUCCUCAAUUUAGAACCCACAUAUUUGGCCGACGAAAUGCCAUCAGGAGACAUGAGCUGGAACCUAGCAUCCCCAGCCAGCAGCCCCUUCUUUGUAUAUGUAUUAUAGAUCACAGUGCUUAAUGCUGCUUUACUAACUCUUGUUAGGUUGAUCUAAGCAUAUAUUGUUUUAAACUAGUGGUCAAACCCACAAUCUUAUGCAAGCUAGGUGUAUUCUCUUUCGCUGUGCCACGGUCCAGUUCCCCAUCUUUGGUUUCUCCUGAGGCAGGGAAUUGUUAAAUUGCCUAGGAUAGUUUGGAACUCAAGAUCUUCCUGUCUUAGUGUCCUGAGUAUCCGAGAUUUUGUUUGCCAUCGUACCUUCUUUCUUUGGGACUCUUUCUCCUUCAAAGAGGCACAUAACAGAGACUUGUCGGUUGUUCUUGGCCAUCAGAGAGUACAGAGCAGGAAGUCCCGUUUAUUUUUGGGCUAAGACUUCAACCACCCCAUACAGAUGACCCCUAAUGAGGUCAAUACAGCAGAGGCAGCAUCCACUCUGAAGGGCUGCUGUGCAGGGCCAGGCCCGUGCCUGGUGUGAGCUUGACUAGGGAGACUAAGGAGGCCAGCUGACUCGUACUGACUCCUUAGGCUGCCAUCUUGUGGCAACUGCCCUUAGUCCAGUUCUGCCUGCCAGUUCUAAUGUCUUCAAAGACGCCCCUCCUUGGUGUCUUACAUAAUACUCGCCUGUUUUGACAUGUGGGGCUCGGAGUCUUAACCUCCUCUAGAGGAGAAAAGCAGAAUGGGCAAGACAACUCCAGAAUGGGGCUUCUCCGCGUAGGUCAUCCAGGCCAGCGGUAGCUGCAGGGUGACCAGGCGAUGUGUCUGGGGCAGCAUGGCACUGGCACGAGUGAGGGUCACCACUUAUGUGGCUGAGCACUUCUUAUAUACGAGCCUAUUUACUCCUAACAACAGCCUACUGAGCUAUACCCUGCUUUCCAUCCCCACCGGCAACGGGCUCUCACCACGUAGUCCCAUCCAGCUUAGAAUUUGAUAUGUAGGCCAGGCUGGCCUUGAACUCACAGAGACCAGCCUGUUCCUGCCUUCUCAAGGCCUGGAUUAAAGGUGUGUGCACUGCACCUGGCCUAUUUCCCCCAUUUACGGAUGAAGAAACCAAGGCACGGAGACGUUGAAGCUCAAAAUUUUGAAGUAAAUUUGUGUUAGAAUUGGAAUUCAAAACUAAGGUUUUUCUAACUUUAAAGCCCAUGUUCUACCAUCCCCUACUGGCCUCCUGCACAGCCCUGGAGGAUAGGCUGUGAAGCCGCAUACCUGGGAGCCCGUCCUGGCUUAGCAACACUCACUCACUUCAUCUCAAAGUGGUGCGUCCUCACAGGAUGGUAGAAAGGACCAAAUGAGCAUGUCGGUACACUUAGUACAGUGCCCAGGACAGGUGAGGCCUCAGAAUGGAGGCCUUCCCUUUGGUUUGGAAGGAAAGAAGUGGGGGCUCUCACCUUUCUGCUUUGACCCUCUACCUUUGAAGCCUCUUCCUCCUCCUUUCAGCUCCAAAACACUUUUUGUAUUAACAUCAGGAGUUCCUUGACCCCCAGGUUCAUUUCUUCAUCGAGUUAGCUAUCUGGGCCUCACAGGAAAGUGUAAAGACCUUUGAACUUGAACUGAGGAGGUCUUGCCGCUAGUACAGCCUCUCUGAGCCUCAGUUUCCCCAUCAGGGAGACAGGAGAGCUGUCCAUACCCUGGGCUGAUGGGCAUGUGCGGUGCAUAUGCAACCACUUCCUGAUUCCCCAUCCACCGUAGACCAUGAUUAAUCAAUUGCAGCAUCUUCGUUCGUGAUCCUGAAUGUGGCACAGAGUCCUCCCUCACACAUGGAGGCAAUCACUGUCAACUGCUUAGAGUUGAAAUGACAGUUGGAGCCUCUGGGAUAUUUCUGGAGCCAUUUGCUAAAGGACCCUUUCAGCUCUGCCACUGUGGCUCUAGCAACCGUACCCGGUGGUGCUGAGAGAAGGCAAGGAGCCUAGGUCUGACCCCUAUAACGAGUGUAUCUAGCAGCUUUGUCAUUUUGGACAAGUAACUUACACUCCCUAAGCUCUGUUUCCUAAUUUGUAAUUUGGGAGUUUUAACACAUGCUCUCUUUCUUGGCAUUACCGUGAGACUGAAACCUCUGUAGCUUUUUGUCGGUGGGGCCUACACAUUACAGCCACACCCUCUGUGUUUAGGACAGGGCCUGGUCCAGAGCAGCACGGUAGAAUGUUAAAUCUGUAGAAAGAGAAGGAGCCACAAACACAUGCAGAAUGUCUAGAGAAGCGGUACUCAGUCUUUACGGAAUAUAAAGGUAGUGACCGGAGCCCUUGCAGCAUGUACAUUCCAAGGUGCCAAGGAGAUCAUACAGAUGGCUGAGGUGGGGCUUGGGUAGCCUGUUUUCAAGCGGCCAUCCUAGGAAUCCUGCUGUAGGCAGUCUGUGGGAAGCCUGGGCUCAGGAUGAGCGUGGCAGUUAACACCAUUAAGUCGGCCUGCCUUUGUUUUCCAGGAGUGCCUCACACCAGGGAGGGAGGUACAGGGAAGGAUAACUGUGCCUGCUUCUCACACCUUGUUGGCUACCUGAGACACAGGUCCCCAGCUGACAGAUGCUCUUAGCUGUUACACUCUGGCCUGAGAGGCAUGCUCAGAAAGGUCACAAGUAAAACGAGAGCACCAGGGUCUGAGGCCAUUCUCAGCUGUCUUGUGAGGAUCCUACAUAACUCUCCUCAACUUCAGCUACAAGCCCAGAUCAUGUUCUUUGUGAAGAAACAAGAACAGACUGGCUGGUGAAUGUGUGUGUGUGUGUGUGUGUGUGUUUGUGUGUGUGUGCGUGCGCGCGUGUGCGUGCGUGUGUGCUCUGUGAUCCCAUGCUGAUUUAACUGUCUACAUGGAUCCAAAAACAAGAAGUAGAAAGUAAAAAGCAAAUUAACAUCUGGGCCUUUUAUUCUUCUUCUCUGCAUUCAACAAGCAGAGAGCUUUGCAAAGCCCUAUUCUGUAGUUGGUUGUUUUUCUACUCUUACUCUUUGGACUGUUUUGCUCUUUAUUCUUUUGGGGGACCUGCCACCCAGCUCCCAAAUAAAUACAUGGAGGCUUAUUCUUACUUGUAAAUGCCCGGUGUUAGCUUGACUUGUUUCUAGCCAGCUUUUCUUAAAUUAUCCUGUCUACCUUUUGCCUCUGGGCUUUACCUUUUUCUGUUUCUGUAUAUCCCUCUUUAUUUCUUAUUCUGUGGCUGGCUGUGUAACUGAGUGGCUGGCUCCUGAUCUCCUCCCAGAUUUCUCCUUCUGUUUAUUCUCUCUGCCUGCCAACCCCCACUUAUCUUUCCUCCUGCUUCACUAUUGGCAAUUCAACUCUUUCUUAGCCCAAUCAGGUGUUCUAGGCAGGCAAAGUAACACAGCUUCACAGAGUUAAACAAAUGCAACAUAAAAGAAUGCAACACAUCUUUGUAUCAUUAAACAAAUGUUCCAUAGCAUACACAAAUGUAACACAUCUUAAAAUAAUAUUCCAUAACAUCAUUCAUUAGGUAGAAAUGGAAGUCUCUCAACCUGUGCUUCAGCGUGUGCUAAGGCAGUCUAUAUGGAGAUAGCUCCCAUCACAGGAACCCCUGCCAGCUCUCUGCUUUCAAAACCAGGGCUCAGUGGGCAUAGCCUGAAAUUCCUCUGGUCUCUUGGUACUGAAUUUGGAACACCAACUGAUGUUUCUCAACUGAUGGCCCCGCAUCCCUAGUGAUAGUGUCUUGGGUUCUUUGUCUCCCUGAGUUCUGCUGUGGUCCCCUGCCCCAAUUUAGAUACUCCACUGUGUCUGUUUCUGCAACUCUUCAAACCCUACUAACUCAUGACAAGUUCACCAGGACUUAGGACAAGCAAGACAUCAUCAAAAUUGGGUUAAAGGAAGCCUAGCCUGAGCCACAUGCCUGCUUUUGCUUGGUCUUAGAUGGCUAGGAAUAUUUUGGAGAAUGUUCUUGCUGAAGUAAAGUGUGACACCUGGAUGUCCCACUCAAUACCCAGACUCCUUUAGGGCUCCCUGCUGCCCUAGCCAGUGCUUCCUUUCUCCCAAAUGAAACCAGAUGACUGGGGUGGGCAGCAAGGGUAGUUUGAAGGGACCCAGGGAAAGUUGAGCUUCUGAUCCACCAACUGCCCCAACCUGCUUCUGAACGGGUUUAUCCAUGAACAAACACCCAAAUUUCUUUCAUCUCCCAAUCACCCAGAAUCUGAUCCCUUAUUUAGUCCUGAAACGCGGAAGCUAAUCUUUUAUUUAUCUCUACUGUAAUCCCACUUCAGGCUCUGUAUGGAACAUUCCCACUAGGGAACAAACUCUAGGAUUUCAGAAAGACCCCCAGUUGGGAAAGUAUAAGGGUUUAGGAGGGAAAGUAAAACCAGGCUGAGGAUGUUUUGGCUCCGUGUGUGAGCUGGAGGAAGAAUGCAGAUCAUUUGGGUUCCUGGGGUAGGUAAUGAGCUUUUUGGGUAAGCUCCUGAUCACUUAGCCACAGAGGAUGGGGGAAGAGCGGGGAUGCUUUGCUGAGAUAUCUCACAGCCUUUUCUUUUUUUUUUUUUUUCCUUUUUCUUUUUGGGUUUUUGAGACAGGGUUUCUCUGUAAUUUUGGAGCCUGUCCUGGAACUAGCUCUUGUAGCCCAGGAUGACCUCGAACUCACAGAGAUCUGCCUGCCUCUGCCUCCUGAAUGCUGGAACUAAAGGCGUGCACCACCACUGCCUGGCUUCACAGUCUUUUCUUAAUGGCAUCUUGGCCCUAAAGCCAGAAAAAAGAUCACUGAAAGUCACUGCUGCUCAGAGUGUAAGUUUUACUCCUGGUGGAUUGGAGCCAAACUGCAGAAUCAGCAUGGAAGAUAGGGACAAUGCGGUAGGUAGAGAGAAGGCCUGCCCCUUCUCCCCAUCUGCCCAAUCUCAGCCAGUUGACCCAAACGCGUGGCCUCUGACUGGCUUCUAGAAUACCCUCUCUGUUCAUUUCCACCUUCAUCUCCCAUUCAUCCCCUCUGCUCUGGUCUGUCACUGGUGUUUCUGAGAUUCAGCUUCAAAACGUAGAGAUGGGUGGGUCUUUGAGGUCUAGUCUAACACCUUCCCAUUUAACAGAUGUGAGGUAAUAAGAGCCUGAGAAGAGGUGGGGCUUUCCCCCCAGAGUCUCAUCACUCAAGAAAACAUAAUGGUUAGUUUCUUCCAUUGUUCAGAUCUGUGUACCUAGGGCUGACUCAUUCUCAAGAGGCAAAUGUGUUCUUGUGACCAACAUCAGCAUCUCUUCUGAGUGAGGCCCUAUGGCUCUGCCUCUACCCUGGUCUACUUCAUUUUUCCUGCCUCUUCAUUUGGAAAUUAUCUGAUGGUCUCCAGAGAAAGAUUUGCAAGCACUGUUGGUGUCUUUCAGUGACCCUAGCUGGGAUGUGCUGUAUAUGAGGAGCCGCAGGAAACUCUUCAGAAGGACGCCUCUGUCCUUUGGGAUCUCACUAGAGACUGUCUGUUAGUUCAUGUAUGGUGCUACACCAGGAUUCCCGAGGCAUGGUGGCUUCUCAAUAACAGGACUUUCUUCAUCACCGUUCUGGAAUCUGGGAAAUCUGUCAUCAAGAAAAGAACAAGCUGCCCAGGAAUCCCAGAACUUUGAAGGAAGAGGCAGGAGGAUCUCUGAGUUUGAAGUCAACUUGGUUUACACAGAAAGGCUCUGUCUCAAAAAAGGGUUUCUCUGUGUAGCCUGGCUGUCCUGGAACUGACUCCGUAGACCAGGAUGGCCUCAAACUCAGAGAUCCACCUGCAUCUGCCCCCAGUGCUGGGAUUAAAGACAUGUGCCACCACAUCCAGAUGUCAUUGUGCCCCUUUGUGAUGAAACAAUGUCACAGUUUCUUCUCCCCACUAAAUAUUACUUCCCCUAACUCUUAUCUUAAUAAUAAUCAUAAUAAAAAACUA